UAAAUUAUAUUGGUGAAUUUUAGUAAUAUAUAUACAUAUUUAAUGUAUAUUUACUUAUUGAAAUGCAUUUUAAAUAUUUUAAGAAUUUUUGAAAUCAAAAAUAAUUUUAGAAUUUUAUUUUGAAAAGAAAUCGAAUUACGAAAACGGAUUGAAUUUAUAAAACGAUCCUAUUUAGUUUUGAAUUCGAAUCAUAAAAACCAAUUCUACUCCUAGCCCAAUUGGGCAAAGCCCAAACCAAUAAACCCAACAAAUACUCCUUUCUCUCCUCUACUCUUACGUGAAACCAAAAGGAAAAAACAAAAAAAAGAGAAACCCUCCUACUGCAAUUCACGCACAACUCAGCCAUCUCUCCCGCCUUCACUACUCGCCGUCGUCCCAGCCGCCGACCACCACGCACGCAACCCCGUUCGCGCAGCAGCCACCGCACACAACCACCGUGCCCAGCACCUUGUCGCGCCGCCUUGCUGCACGUACGUCAACCACCACUGCCGCCCUACCGGCCAACGCUCUUCCCCUCCUCUUUUCUUGGAUUCCCAUUUGCGCACCACCAUUACAAACACGCGCAGCCACCGUUGCUGCCACCGCCGGCCACCUUGCGUCAACCGACUAUCUGCCUUGCUACCGCCGUCCCGACCGCCGGCCAGCCUCCCUCUCUCUCACUUUUGGUGGAGAAUUCUCCGUAGGCGACUUUUGAAUUAUUAAAGUGGUCUUGCAGUUUGUUUACACAAGUCUCUAAGGAUCAAUAAGCGUUGCCCAUCUACAGGUUUGAAGAUGAUGCAUCAUUGGGAUCGGGAUUAGAGAGUUUGUAGUUCUAUUUGUUUAAUUAAGUGAUUCAAUUUGUUAACUUGGAUUUGAAACUUGUCGUACUAUUGGUAUUUCCUUAUUUCAGUUAAUUGUUUUGGACCUAAUAUGUAAUAGAUUAUUUAUGAACCUAAAAGUUAGUUUUAUGUUUUCCGCUGCAAAAUUCUGAAUAAGCCGUUACGUUUUCACACGGGCGAUAAUGCCUUGAUAAUUCUCUACGUUUUAUAUUUAAAAGUUA